AAAUGAAUAGACGGGGACCCGCACAAGCGGUGGAGCAUGUGGUUUAAUUCGAAGCAACGCGAAGAACCUUACCUGGUCUUGACAUCCUUUUGACCGGUCCGUUACAGGACCUUUCCUUCGGGACAGAAGUGACAGGUGGUGCAUGGUUGUCGUCAGCUCGUGUCGUGAGAUGUUGGGUUAAGUCCCGCAACGAGCGCAACCCUUAUCUUUAGUAGCCAGCAGUUCGGCUGGGCACUCUAGAGAGACUGCCAGGGAUAACCUGGAGGAAGGUGGGGAUGACGUCAAAUCAUCAUGCCCCUUAUGAUCAGGGCUACACACGUGCUACAAUGGCGUAAACAAAGAGAAGCGACCCCGCGAGGGCAAGCAAACCUCAAAAAUAACGUCUCAGUUCGGAUUGUAGUCUGCAACUCGACUACAUGAAGCUGGAAUCGCUAGUAAUCGCGAAUCAGAAUGUCGCGGUGAAUACGUUCCCGGGUCUUGUACACACCGCCCGU
rnacentral:rRNA from 1 species